GUGCUUGCUUCAGCGCCACAUAUAUUUUAAAAAGUGAAGAUUAGCAUGGCUUCUGUGCAAGGCUGACAGACAGAUUUGUGAAGCAUUUCAUAUUUUA
rnacentral:snRNA from 1 species